GCCCAGGGUGCAAGUAUAGCUCAGUUGGUAGAGCAUGAGACUCAGGGUUGUGUGUUCGAGCCCCACAUUGGGCA